rnacentral:rRNA from 1 species
UACGUAGGCAGCGAGCGUUGUUCGGAGUUACUGGGCGUAAAGGGCGCGUAGGCGGCGCACCAAGUCAGGCGUGAAAGCCCUGGGCUCAACCCGGGAAUUGCGCUUGAGACUGGUGUGCUUGAGUACGGGAGAGGAUAGUGGAAUUCCCAGUGUAGAGGUGAAAUUCGUAGAUAUUGGGAAGAACACCGGUGGCGAAGGCGGCUAUCUGGACCGUAACUGACGCUGAGGCGCGAAAGCGUGGGGAGCAAACAGG